AUCGUCCACCUGCAGGGAACAGAGGAGCGCGGGCCUGGUGAGGGAGGGCGCGGGGACACACGGGGAGGGGGGUGCGGGCAGAGCGGGGAGCCCGGGGACCCUGGGGCCGGGUCACCUCCUGGCCACAGAGGUGGAGAGCUAUUCCCGGGGCAGAAAACCGAGAAAGAAUGGAGGCUGCCGGGGCUUCCGGCUUGCAGAGCCCUCCUCGUUUCCUGGGACCCUAAAGGAGCACUGCGGGGCUGGCCCAGGCCUCAGACCAAACUGGCAAGGCCUUGCUGACCGCAGAGCCCUGCACCGAGCGCCUGUGCACCGAGCGCCUGGGCACCCAAGGUCCGCGCAGGUCGAGGUCCCCUCCUGGGGCCUCCCUCCCCCCCCCCCCCGUGAGCUCCCCCACAGACAAAAUCACUGAGCUAACAGUAGGCCCCCAGUGCUGGCCGCUGCUCCCCCGGGGAGCAAUCACUUGGGGCAGACAGGGCGACAUUAAAGGUGUCACCCUGGGGCCAAGGCAUGGUGCUGGUUAUUUCCCCAAAUUCACUUGGUGUCUCCUCUUUACAUCUGGCUUUCCCUGCGACCUUGUUUACUUAUUUAUUUAAAGUUUCGAAAAAGGAAACCUUAGGUCACAACUUGUAAUGUUACAUUUUUUAUUUCUUCCUUUUUUCUUUCUGAAUUUUGCCACACAGGGGAGCAAACUCAGUGCCUUACGCCGAGCUAAGUUUCCCAGGCUGAGCUCAGUUUUUGCCCGACCUCUGGAAUCCUGAGAUUAUAGCUCUGUAGCCCAUACUGUGCUUAUGUGUGUCAUAAAUACUACGUGAAACUUGCAUAAAAAUAAAAACCAGCCCAUCUUUGUUCUCAUCUAAACAGCUCACAGGGGGAUAGGGUGGGGGCAAGCUUAGAAAUUUUGAUUCCCAUGAACGGGAGGGACUUUUCGCUUCCUGGAUCCCUUGCUCCGUUAAAAAUUUUAAAAAGUGAAUGAAACUUAUAUUUCCUAACUGCAUUGGUAUCAAGAUAAAGAUGCCCAGUCCUGGCUCACAGUGCUCUGACUUUAUGAUGUUACAAACAGUGACACAAACAGUGACACACAUUUGGUAGAAACUGUACUUUGAAUUUGGAUCUUUCCCAGACUAACUAGACACCAUCUAAUAACUUUCUGGGGACGGUUGGGGCCGGAAGCAAACCCCAGCUGGUCGUCUACCCCUCCAUCCCUGGGGACACACUGGAACUUGCCCAUGGGGGUAUGGCUAAACUGAGAUGUCCAGAGGCAGAUUCAAUAAUACUUUUGGUUUUUGGAAUGGUUUGUUCGUUUGAUUUUGCGGUGCAGGGGACAGAAUCCAGGGCCUUGCAUAUUCCAGGCAGGCAUACAGAUCUCACCACUGAGCCACACUCCCCCUGUUCGGUGCAUUUUGACUUAGAGAAUCUUCAGCUUAUGAUGGGUUCCUCCAGGCAUCGCCCAGCACAAGCCAAGGAGCCUUGGGGGUUAUUUUAGACCCUCAGGGAGGUGAGGACCACAGAGCACUGAGAGUAUCAAACACCACUGAAUGCCAUUUUCCGUCUGAUGUUAUGUGAUGUGAAUUUUGCCUCGAGUUAAAGCAUGGAUUUAUUAAAAUCCCAUUUUAAAACGUUUCCUUUGACCUAAAAGUUUAAGGGGUUUUUUUCUAAUUUGAAAAGAAUUAAAAUGCUUCCUUUGGUCUCUGAAAUCAUCAUGAGCUUUAGACAUUGGGCCUCCUGCCCAGGAAGAGAAACAAGGCUAGCCUGGGUGGGUCCCCUGGCCUCCCUGGGCCUGGUGGACGGGAAUCCUGCUCCCCGCUCUGCACUGACCCCCAGCCUCCUCGGUCUCCGACUGGCGUCCCCUUCAGCCCGGCAAGUGAAGCAUGGAGACCAAAAACAGUUCCCUCAGUGACAGUUCCUCUGCCUGUGGCCGCUCAUGGGCCACUCUUCUGCUUCAGCCAAGACUGCCUGGGUCCUCGCCCCGCCUUUUCACCCUAGAAAUGGUGACAUCUCCUCCCAGACGCUGGUCUCAGUGCUGCCCCACCUCUGGUGACUGCUUUUGGGGUCCACACCUUUGUAAAGUCAUGGUGCAAGCCUGUAACCCUAGCUCUAGCAGGCAGAGGCAAGCGGGCUGGGAAUCAGAGCCCACCCGGGGCUGAUGAGCCACUUAACAAGAUGCUGUCUGGAAAUUAAAAAUUAAACGAGGGAGAGGUGCGACUGUAGCUCAGUGCAAAGGCCCUGUGUUCAAUCCCCAGUGUGGAGAAAAGGGAAAAAGCCCUUACCCUGAACUCUUACCUGAGACCUAACCUACCCAGAUGUGCUCCAGGGCCCGAAGGCUUACAAGGCGUAGUAUGGAAUAGUUUGUACCCCAAACCCACCAUUCUGUACCAUGGAAUCAACCAAUCUCAGAUCAGAAAUAUGCAAGCUGGAGUGUGUGCUAAGCCCCUGGUCCAGUUCCUAACACCAAUAAAAAAAUCGCGUCUCUACCGGGCACGUACAGGGUUUGUCUCCAUUAUUACUCAGCAGUGAACACCACAGCUGUGCAGAUAGCAUCUCCAUCGCCUAGGCGUGCAGUAACAAGGCAGGAUUUCAUUCUCACGGGAGAUGCACACAUAUUGUGCAAACACUGUGUCAGUUGACUAAAGGGAACUGAGUAUGAGGGGUCUUGGUAUCCCUGGAGACUCCCAGAGCCAAUCCCUGCACAGAGCAGCAGCUGACAAUGUAUAUAUCUGCAGGCCUCCUCUGGCCCACUCCCUAGCUUUGCAAAUAAAGUUUCAUUAGCACACGACCCUGUUAUAGCGAAUUAUACAUUAUCUAUAAUGGCCCUCAAGCCACGAUGGCUGGCUGGGUUCUUGGAACGUACACGGCAUGAGCUGAGAAGCUGAAAAUAUUUACUCUCCAGCCCUUUAAAAAAAUGCUGACACCCCACCCCUCCCCCACGCCUCCCCCACCCCUCGCCCACCCCACCCCCAGCUUGGAGACAGACACCGUGAGCCCUGUCUCUCAAAUCCCUGCUCCACCCUUCAGGAACCGGCCUAGGGCCGCUUCACAGCUCACAGGACCCCUAGACCUGAUCCUUAGGACACCCCAGAGUGGUCACAAAACAGCCACCGAAUGUGACAGAUAAAUGCAGGGACUCGUCAGCCGUAAAAUGGAGAGAGAAAAAUGCUGGGGGGGGGGCUGCCUUAUUGACUUUGCUCAGUCCUGUCUGCACUGCCCUAAAUAUACACAGCUGUAAUUUGUCAGUUAAAAAUGAUGCUACGGGCGGGGAUCUAGCUCAUGGCAUAAGCACCUGCCUGGCAAGCACAGGGUCCUGAGUUCGAUUCCUGGUACCAAAUGAUAACGAUAGUGCUAAUUUUUAUUGUUAAUCGACACAAUGAUUAUACAUAUUUGUGGGGUAGGGGGCAAUCAUUUAAGACAUGAACAUGGUGAUGAUGAUCAAAUUCGGGUAAUGAGCAUUUCCAUCUCUUAAGCAUUUAUCAUUUCUUUGAGAGCCUUUUAAUCUCUUUUAGUUCUUUCUAAAACAUAUACUUAAAUUGUAAAUUAUAAUUAUCCUGGACAGGGGAUAGAGCUCAGUGGCAUAGUGCCUGCCUGGCAAGCGUGAGGUCCUGAGUUCGAUUCCCGGUACAAAAAAAAAUAAUUAUAUAUGACGUCUGCUCUGGUCUUACCUCCUAUGAGAUCAGUUUUGUUCGCCUGCACCUAUGACUGAGAACAGAUAGCAUUUGUCUUCCGGGGCCUAAAGUAUAAAAAUAACUUUCUGUACAGGAGAUGGAGCUCAGGACCUUCACACCGAGCUACACGCUAAGCUCUUUUCUUUUCUUUCUUUUUUUUUUAAUCUUGAGACGAGGUCCCCAGAGUGGUCUUGAAUUUAUGAUCCUCCUGCCUCAGUCUCCUCAAGUACUGGGAUUACAGCUAUAGGCCACCACGCCUGGCUAAAAUGAUGUCAGUUUUUAAAAACACUUGAUUCUCUGGAGUUUCUCAGGACCGUAAAGUCCUCUUGGGCCUUCCUGGGUCUCUACUGGCCCAUCGGGAUUCUUCCCUGGCCUGGGCCUGGGGGUUUCUAGUCUGUCCAGAUUCUAGAUCUUCUCUUGAUCUCCUUUGCUAAAGUGGCCCCUCCAGCAUCCUGGAAUUCGAGGUACAACCGGGAAGAGGUAGGUGCUCCCGCAGGCCCCCGGCUGUGGGGCACUGUGUGGUCAUUCUGGUGAGCUUGGAACACAGGGCUGGAGGGGAGAGUUUCUCUUUUCUUUCCUUCCUUUGCUUGUUGAUUGACUCGGAAGCUGUGCGUUACAACUGCCUGUUUCCUCUCCUGCUCCUUUCUGCCUGGCUUCUGUCUUAGCUUAGCACCCCCAGAAUCCCACGGAGGCUCCGUGCGGGGAGGAGAACGCGUUUCUGCCCACUUUACCCCAAAGCUGUGCCAGCCGGAGUGGGUGGGGGAGGGGAAGACGGGGUGGAAAUCGUGCACAUCGCACACACGGACUGGCACGAGCAACUUCACACGUCUAUCGUGUGCAACCGAUGUGCAAACCGUCACCAACACGAACUCUUCAAACGCACAGUCCACCCACACCCAGAAGUACAGCUCUGUGCAUGCAACUCUAGUCACACAAAUCCCAUGCACACGCACACACACGCUGCCAUAUUUGUGCACACCACCACACAACCGCAUACACACUUUCACGGCCUGCACAACCACCUUUUACAAGGUAAACUCCAUGCAAUGAUUUUCUAACAGUUCUCUCUCUCUCUCUCUCACACACACACACACACACACACACACACACACACACACGCCCACAUACCCUGACGGUCAGACAGCCGCACACAGCUGGCUUUUCCUCCACAUGUAAAGUCAGCCUCACUGGCACCCACGCGCACCCACUCACACCUAAGCCUCCUCUGCAGCGAUGGUCAAAGCCUCACACCCAGCAGAUGCGCCUGGCGCUGGCAGCUUGAUCCCCGCGAGGGAGCUGACUCGGCGACCCCGGAGAAAAUUAAAGCUGAGAAAAUUAACGCAGCGCGCGGCCGUGGAGAAGCCCCGCGCGCGGAGGGCGCUCAGCAAGCGGCAGGCGGAUUCGGGCUGGCGGGAUCCUAAUUCACAGCUGCUUUUCCACGUCCAGGGUUGCGAGGUGGCGCUCCGCGUCCUCCCAGAUGGCACCAGCUUGGUGGCUUCCAGGGCCUUCCCCUCUCCAGUGCGCUAAAGCCUUUUACAGAGCUGAGCCUCCAACCCGGCAUCAGCAUAAAAAUUCCCUGAGGUUACUGUUACAGUGUAAAACCUUAUUAUUACAAUGUAACACACCUGGUUACAGUGUAACACGCGGUUACAGUGUAACACACGUUCGUUAUUAGCUGUAAUACACUAUCCGUGCUGUUAUCAUUGUUGCUAACUGAGCAAUUGUUGGCCGCAACCUCCUGGAUUAGGGCGGCUCUUUACUCCUAUUCACCCACGCAUCCCGUGACGAAGACUCCGUGCCCGAGCUGCACUCAGCUCAGUUAAAUCAGUUUCCCUGGGAAUGGAGCCCAGGCAUAGAUGGAUUCCAGUAUUACCCCACCACCCAGUGAUUUGAAAAUGUAGCGUGGAGGAACCCAGCUCUAGCUGUCAGAUGCCCCAGGGCCACACCCACACCCACAACCCGCUGCCUUCUCCUCAGGCGUCGACUGUGCUCCAGGUUCUGCUCCCUUCUCCCAGCCUGGGCCUGCUCCCAAGCACCUGGCGCUUAAGGUGGUUUACUCCACAAAUAUUUAUUCUGCACCCAGGGUUCCGGGAUGUGCUGGAGGCUGGAGAUGCAGAGGGAAAUAUUCGCUUUGUUACGUAAGAUAAUAAGCGAAUCAAACAGCAAGCUAACUUCUGGGUCUUCCUUUAGGCCCUUAAAGAUCAAAGAGGACCCCAAAACCCUGUUUCUCAAGUUUAAUCAUGAGGAAAACAUCAGACAAAAAGGGGGGAACACAUUCUACAAUCUACCUUACUGGUCUCCCCCAAAACCUGUCAGGUUCAGAAGCUGUCACAACCAAGGGGAAGCCGACCACAUGGGACAAUGUGAUGUAAGCUGGGAUCUUGGAACAGAACAAGGCCACAUGCUGACCAUCUCUAAUCUGAAAUCCUCCAGAUCCAAAGCUCUUGGAAAGCUGCUGUCACAGCACAGCACAAGGGACACAAAGAGUCUUCUCUCCCUGCCAUCCUCCUGCCUCAGCCUCCCAGCGUGUUGAGGUUAUGGGUCUGAGCCACCGACCUGCCUGCUUUUGACACUUGUGCUGUCCUCGGCCACCAUGAACAGUUGCCCCCUGCCUGAGCUGCUCUGCCUCAGAGCCAGCUGAGUAUGGGCUGAAACCUCCACAAACUGUGAGCUAAAUAAACUUUUCCGGGCCCAGGGAUUUAGCUCAGCACUCCAAGCGCCUGCCUGGCAAGCACGAGAUCGUGAGUUUGAUCCCUGGUAUCAAAAAAAAAGAUUAAAUAAACUUUUCUGUCCUUUA